CAUACACGCCAGUAUCGGAUCAGAGCAUAUUUAGCUCUAGUCCGUCAUUUUUUUCAAAUGCUCCAGAGUCGCCGCCGCCGAUGUCAUACACGCCAGUACUAAGACCAGCGCCUGAAUAUUACUGGGGUCUGCCACCACAGCAUUGUCAGUGCUGUGUCCAACGGGCGGAAACAAAAGAGUUUUUAAAAAAUGUAAUUGUUAAUACACUAAUGGAAAUAUUUAGAGAGCAAUAAAUGUAUGUAUUCUUUAUUAUGUGUAUUGUGUUUCUUCUGUUACAGGUCGUGAAGGUUUUUCGGCUGGGUUUUUCUCCUUCACCUGAUUGGCAUCACAAUUGGCACAAUUCCCAGCACAAUUGGCUUUAAUAAAUAUAU